UUGCUGCCUGCCUAGCACAUAUACUAAAAUUGCAACGAUACAGAGAAGAUUUGCAUUGCCCCUGCGCAAGGAUGACAUGCAAAUUCAAAUAUUUACAAGACAAUGGA
rfam:Chelonia mydas contig142148, whole genome shotgun sequence.